rnacentral:rRNA from 12 species
AAUAGUGUCUGAUUUCGGAAGUUAUGAAGGACUGUGCCUGGUUAGUACUUGGAUUGGCGACCAACUUGGAAGACCAGAGGCUACUAUUC